CUCUGCUCAGCACUGGUGAGGCCUCAGUUCAAGUGGCAUGUCCAAUUCUGGGCUCUUCAAUACAAGAGAGACAUACUUGGAGAGUCCAGCAAAAGACCAUGAAGGCACAUUGUACAAGUGACAAUUUGUGCUGGACACAUCAUGUAGCCUGAAGAUCCUGAAAAUCAGUUUGAAUAUUCUUUGCAAUUCUUUGCAAUUGUAUUUUCUGAAGAGCCCAGAACCUCUAAACCAAGCAAAUGGAACCAGCUGCCUACUGCUGAAUGAGUAUUGAAGAGUGAAGCCAUAAAGAACAGGAGACCAGUCUGAGUGAUUGUUUGUUUGCCUCACAUCUGGGAAGUAAUUUAGCUCAGAGAUGGGGGUACAGCAGCUCCAUAAAUGCCCUGGGUCACACUGUACCAAUGAAAUCUCUGUCAACACCAGCAGCCUGUUCACCCAUCACCAGUACCUCAAUCAACCCAUGGAAAGGAAGUUAUUAGCAAACCCAUUUAUGCCCUCUGCAAAUACAUGCACACCUUCCCCAAGCCAAUCUGUCAUUCCUCCUGUCUCCGAAUCCACCGGAGGCAGCUGCUUCCUCCUGCCUGCCCUUCUUCCUCACCAGCACCCCCACAAGCACCUGCCCUGCUCCAGUGCUCCCCCCUUCACCCAAGAGCCUCUGAUCUCUCCUGACACCCACUCCCUUUUCUGCCUGAGCUUUAUCCUUAGUGGGCUCCUGGAGUCAGGAGCUGUGUGUGCACACCUUGACAGAGGACACAGGUUUUGCUGUGCUGCCCUCUUUGUUCCCAGAAGCCACAAUGAGAAUAUUUCCCCCACUAGAAAUGCUAUGUAUUUUUUCCUGCAAUUGUUUUUUUUUCCAAAACUCAUCAAUUUAUUCUUUUCCAUAGAAUAGAGGGUUGUGAUUUUUUUUUUUUUAAUGUAAUUUCUCUGGGUUUUUUUCUAUUUUAUUUGCACCAAGGACAAUAAUAUUCUGGUUUUAGAUUCACAUUUACUUAUGUCCCCACCAUUGUGACCACCUCUGUAACUUUUGCAAUUGAAAUAAAAAUUAGUCAGAAAAGUCAUAAAGAGAGGACAUGCAGACAGUCAAGAGCUGUAAGAGCUCUGGUCUGUUCAUGGUGAAGAAAGGGCAGGAGGGGAAGAAAUAAGUCUCAGUUUUGAAAUGCUUUCUAUUUAUAAAUUGUCCUGAGAAAAUCAUUAACCUGAAUACCUUUAGCUUUUCUAUUGUACAAGGUCUUUGACACAAAAGGACAUAACACUUCUGGUGGUUUACCAGUUCAUGUUAGCAGUAUCCCUUUGGGUCUAGCUAAGCUGUUUAACCAAAGCACUCUGUUCAGCCAAAGCACUCUGAAGUAGUAAAAUAAAUAAAUAAAUAAAAGACCCA